rnacentral:rRNA from 1 species
AGGCUUAACACAUGCAAGUCGUGCGAGAAAGUAUCUUCGGAUAUGAGUAGAGCGGCGAACGGGUGAGUAACGCGUAGGAAUGUACCUAGUAGAAGGGGAUAGCCCGAGGAAACUCGGAUUAAUACCGUAUACCUCCUUCGGGAGAAAGAAGGCCUCUCUUUGAAGCUUUCGCUACUAGAUCAGCCUGCGUAAGAUUAGCUUGUUGGUGAGGUAAUGGCUCACCAAGGCUACGAUCUUUAGCUGGUCUGAGAGGACGAUCAGCCACAUUGGGACUGAGACACGGCCCAGACUCCUACGGGAGGCAGCAGUGGGGAAUAUUGGACAAUGGGCGCAAGCCUGAUCCAGCCAUACCGCGUGUGUGAAGAAGGCCUUCGGGUUGUAAAGCACUUUAAGCAGGGAGAAAAAAAUAUAGGUUAAUACCCUAUGUUCUUGAUGUUACCUGCAGAAUAAGCACCGGC